UACGUAGGGACCAAGCGUUGUUCGGAUUUACUGGGCGUAAAGGGCGCGUAGGCGGCAAUUCAAGUCAGCUGUGAAAUCUCCGGGCUUAACUCGGAACGGUCAGCUGAUACUGCUUUGCUAGAGUGCAGAAGGGGCAAUCGGAAUUCCUGGUGUAGCGGUGAAAUGCGCAGAUAUCAGGAGGAACACCGGUGGCGAAGGCGGGUCUCUGGGCCGAUACUGACGCUGGG
rnacentral:rRNA from 1 species